rnacentral:misc_RNA from 1 species
AAAUAGAGGCUCAUAAAUUACAUAAAAAGAAUGAGAAAUAAUGUAGAAAGUGUCACUGUGCUAUCUCCACCUUUAAUACAUGUUCAUAUAUAUACUAUAUUGAGUCUCUGUAGAUUAUCAGCUUUGCAGCCGCUUUAAAAUUGCAGCAUCUGCUGCAGAUUGUCGCAUUCGCGUUCGCAACAUGAUCUGCUGCUAUAACACCAUCAAGUACACCGGACUCUUGUCCAAUCUGCUUUAUAUGCUACUGGCCAUAGGUGUGCUGGUCGCAGCUGGCCUGGGCCUGCAAAUGGCACAGCCAAACACGCCGGAGCAUACAUACUUUGUGGAGAGUCUCGUGCUGGGCGCCACCAUCUGCACCAUAGUCAUAUUCGGCUGCUAUGGCCUGGUCUGCGAUCUGCUAAGCGUGAAUUUAAUUUUCACCUGCUUCAUACUGAUCGUGCUGGGCGUAGAGUAUCUGCAGCUGCACAACUACCAGCCGCAUAGUCGCUAUAGCGGCGCCUGGCAGCAGCUGGAGCUGACGCUGGCCUGGCAUGGCCUGGAUAAGCAGCCGGAGCUGAUGCAACAGUAUGAGCAGCAGCAGCAAUGCUGCGGUUACAACGGCGCCAACGACUACAAGUCUUUGCAUUUGCCCAUACCGAAAAGCUGUUAUCAGCUUGCUGCUGCCGACGACAAGCUCUUUACACGCGGCUGCCAGGCGACAUUGAACCACAACCAAAACCACAUACAGCAGCGCGAUAAGCUAUUCAUGUGGUGCAUCAUUGGCCUUGAGACCAUCGCGCUCAGCGGUCUGCUCUACAAGCUGCGUCAACGCGAGCGACGGGCACGACAACAGGUGCCGCCAGGUGUGCGCCGUGAGCCGCGAGCCAAUCAUGUGGGCUCGCGAGCCCAGCUGCUGGACAAUAUUUGAAUAGCAUCUCUAUGGAUCAUAGCAGCAGCCCAUAUAUCUAUCCACUUAGCCGCUUAUACUAGAUAUGCCAUGGCUAUAAGUAGUUUGGAAAAUGUACAACACCAACAACAACAACAACAACAACUAUUCAAAUAGGAAGAGAUUUAUAGCAUUUAAACGGAUUAUAUUAACUGACUGUUUUAUAUAAAUAUGCGAUUCCGAUUGGAUGUUGGAAUAAAGAACUUCGCACAGCUAAAAAGUCCUUCAGUGGAGUCUUCUAAUUACAAAAAUGGACACCCACCUCGAAGGCCACCAGCACCCAGGAGACAAUGAUGAAGCGCCGCUUGUCGCUCUCGUAAUGGCUCUGCAGCUUCUCGA